UCUCCCUCAGCCUCGAUCUCGAUCCUUUCUCUCCCUCAGUCUCUCCGUCCGUCUAUCCUUCUCCCUCAGCCUCGAUCUCGAUCCUUCUCCCUUAGUCUCUCCGUCCAUCCUUCUCCCUCAGUCUCUCCAUCCUUCUUCUUCUCCCUCAGUCGUCUCUGGUGGUGCGCCGCUGAGCAAGGAGUUGGCCCAGUCAUCGAUAUUUCAGGUUUUUGGGACGAAAUGGGCUCGGGAACAGGCACACCAUCUCCGGUGUUCUUCUCCGGCGUCCGAUAUCGGAAUCCGAUUGCACCGUUCAACGAAAUUUCUCGAUAUUUCCAAAAUAUCGCGAUAUUAUCGAUAAUAUCGAUAAUAUCGCGAUAUUUGGACGAAAACUACACGGAAACCAGUUUAAAUAUCCAUUACCCGAAAAAUCGAUAUUAUCGGCGAUAUUUCGUCGAUAAUAUCGAUAUUUAAAUCCAUGGUUGAGAGAGGAUCCUUGACGGAUCCUCUUUGUGGAGAUUCUGAAGAUCUUUUAAUUAUAUUUGUUCAUCGUACAUCAUAUGGCCAGUUUUGUUAGGUACUGUUUAUAUUCAAUUUUAAAUAAAAAAAUUAUAAUGAUUUCUGACCGCACGAUGUACGAUGAACGGAUGUAAUUGAAGGAUCCGGCUAGGAUCCUCCUGGAUACAAGUUUAAUACCCUACUGGAGUGUGGUGAGAGAGAAAUCCCUCGUAUCACUAAUUACAUGGAAUUAUGUGACUCAUGCUAACCUAAAUCUUAUAUGUUACGGAGAAUGUUAAGGAUACUAAUUUUUUAAAUUAUAUAUCGUGGUUGUAGGUGAUUGAAUUAUUACUUAAUUGUUGAUUAAUGUGUUUAUUUCUUAUUAGUGACACAUCACAUAAUUUAUAAAAUUUAAUUUAAACUUUUGGUCUACCUAACAUUACUCAUAUGUUAUAUAUUAACCUAACAAAAAUUUUAAUCUAGAGUAUUAAAAACAUCAUACAUUCUUCCUUGAUGAGUCGCAAAAAAAAUUUUUGGAGUCUCAAGAUUCACGAUUCUCUUAAUAAAUCAAUCCACUUGAGUCCUGAGUAGAUAACUAAUACUACAUGAUGUCAAAAUUUUAAAAGACAAAUAAAAAACUCCCUACUAAUCACAUUUAUAUUGUUCUUAACUUAACUACAUUUGCAAUAUUACACUAGGUGUGAGGCAUCAGUACAAAAAACCUCAAUGUAUAUAUGUGCAAGGUUUUUUAACAGAUAUUCUUGAUGCAAUUAAAAGUAGAAUAUAAACCACUAUAAAAAUCCUUGUAUAUAUAUAAUUCACACGUAGCGGUGUAACAAUCAUACUCAAAACGUAGAGAGUUGGCAAACACGUGCAUGAGUCUUUUUGAAGGUGAAGGCUAAAGGGGUCCAUAGGGGAUGCCCCAUAUGCAAAAACGACAUCAAAAUUGUGCUCGUGAGAGAAAAUUCAAGAGUGUCCCCAGCCCAUACAAGUCCAAAAAGCCAAAUUACAAACACAAACAUGAAUGGCUCGGCUCACAUGGCCCGUCGUCCUGUUUAGUAGUUUUGCCUUCAUUUAUAGAGCACUGCAUUAGCCUAGCCCUCCCACCAUUCAUCAUCUCUCUCAAUUUUAGAACCAAACUUUCAACAAAUCAUUCUUUCUCUGGUUUUUUGGCAAUUUUUGUACUGCCUUUGCCUUUGUGUUACAUUAUUUGUACUAGCUAGCAAACCUUGGAAAACACCGUAUAAUAUGAAAAAUUAUUCUUUGAAUAAUUUUCAUGGCCUGAGAGGCUAUUCUUCUUCUUCUUCUUUUUCAUCUAAGAUGAAGACGAUGAAGAUGAGGAGGAGGCAGAGGCUCAGGCAGGUGGCGAGAGGCCGCAGUGGAGGAGGCAGGUCGACGGUGCAGGUGAAGGUGAAGAAGCUGCAAAUGUUGAUUCCAGGAGGGAGAGGGUUGAAGGCGGACCGGCUUUUUCUUCAGACCGCAGAUUAUAUACUCCAGCUGAGGUUGCAGGUUAAUGUUUUGCAAGCGCUUUCCAAGAUUUACAAGCUAUGAGAUGCGUCUACUUGUGAAUUGUGAUGCCAUGCAUUUCGAUCUUAAUCAGUUUAUUAAAUUAUGUAUGAUGGUAAUUAAAUGUAUGUUCUUUCACUUAAUUAUAUUAAUUUCCACCGGGCCUGCUAUAUAUAUAUGUAUGGCCUUGAUGCCAUUUGGUUCCAUAUAAUUUCUUGGUUUUUUUAAGUAGGAUAUUUUUCUAUAUAAUCAUCGAAUUGUGUCUCUUCUCUUCCACUGCUGGCUGCAGCUUGUAAUAUUUCUAGGGUUUUCUUUUUUAAGAGCCUGAGACUUUAUCCUAA